GAGAAAGGAUUUUGGUGUGGAGUCUCCAGUCACCUCGGCGCUUUCGUGAGGUGUGAAUUGCUCUCCCCGUUUUCAUAAGAAGCUGCAGUGAAGCAGUGCAAGGAGGAGUCUUGAGUUUGAGUCAUCUCCAUGGACCAUCCUGUUCCUAUCCACCUGUACUGAAGUAAACAACUUAUGGAGUAGGCCUUAUGAGUAUACAUUGCAAGAAUCCAUGUGAGAUCCAGUGGUGAUUCAAGCAAAAGUUUGGUGACUAAUACCAUGAUGUGUUUUGAAAAUGUUUCUGUUAAUCUCAGUGUCCUGACUAGAAUGUGGUUUUGAUAAUUUAUUUUCUGUUUCUUUCACGUUUCCUGUGUAUUUACUUGACUGCUGUAGCAGUUGGCACUGCCUGUCCUAAUUCGUGUUGGUUGAGAUGCAUCAACUUGCGUAGAACGUUUUCCUUCAGAGGUGUAAACAGCAUUUCACGGUGUUGGCAGGAAGGAGGACAGCUAUUCUGUGGUAUGCAUACUGCCCAUAAAUGAAUUCUUCUGAAUGGAUGAUGCUCUGAGAGUGUAAGACUUAUAAAAACCUUCAUGUUGCAUAGUACAGAAGUAUAGUUUUUACUUCCUAGGAGGUAUAGUUCUGUACUUCUGACUAUGCUUCUGACAGUGUUUCCUUGGUGGGAGUGCUGGUUCUUCAGUGCUUUUCUUGCUCUUUUUAUUUUUAUUUUUAAAGAGCUUAAGAGAGUAAUCUGAGAAUCCUGUCUCCUGUAGCUAAGCAUUAUUCAACACAAGCUGGUCCCAGAGCCUUUCCAGAAGAUGCCACGAGCUGCUAUAAAACUUGAAUCAGUCCAAGUCGUAUGCAAAGAUUAUACCACCCUUUAAAGUAUUUUACUUCUCAAGUCUGGCAUGUAAUUCCUCAAGGGAUGGAAUGAUAUUUAGGCAGCAUGCCUGCUGAAGAACGAUGCUAAAUGUCCUCUGAGAAUACCAGUCACUGUUGUCUCAAGUGAUGAUGAUCAACAGUAAGCUAAGUGCUGGCAUAUAGCUAAAUCUUACAGGAAGCUCUAGCGCUGCAGAGGUACAGGCACACAAAUAUGUAUGUAUCCUACAUGCUGCCCUUCUACUAUCUUGUUAUGUUAUCUGUUGAAUUCUAUUCGCCCUCUUCUUUACCUUUUGUUGUUUUUGUUGCUUAGAUUUUGCUGCUUUCUCCCUUGUAACUACAGCUGCUUAGAGACUUUUCCAUUCCUGGCAAAUGAAAACAAAACAAAGGAUGAGCUUCACCUCAGAUCCAAACUGUCUGCCUCAAAGGCUGGGAGCUCUGGGUGAUUGCAUUCCAUCUCACUAGCGUUAUGAGGCAUCAGGUUUGCUGCUGACCCUGACUUUGCAAGUCUGAGCCCUGUGCCCUCUAAAUAGCCUUGCUGACCAUGGAAGAGGCUCCUUAGACAAGAUGUAUGGUCUCCUCCCUCUCUUAUCUGCAGUGGCUCAAAUCUUGUAGUUGCAGUGAGACCCAGUGAUCUCAACAAGAUGAAAUGGUUUUCAAGUCCAUUCCUGGUAUGUCAUCCAUGAUUUCUGUUUUCUUCCAAGGUUUUGUUCAGAGCUCUAGCUUGAGACAAAAAACAGAACGCUGGAUGCUUGUGGUUUCUUUGGUCUUAACACUGCAUGUUCUUCCUGCUUUUCCUUCAAAUGUUGCUCAUUAUACAGUCCUUUGUACUUUGUACAGUUCUUUCCUUUGAAGUCUUAUAUGUGAUUUACACAGCUUAAUGUAAUUGGUGUGAGCCUGCUCUGGUGGAACAGGUAGAAAGCUGAUACUCUAGCUUUGCAGAUAGUAACAGAAUAGGACGUUUGCGGUGUGGAACAUGCACUGAGUUUUAGUCAUGUGCUUUUAACUCUAGUUCUAAUAGCAGUGUCUCUGUGAUCUUUUAGGAAACAGAUGUCAUGUUUAACUUGGCGGCUGCCUUUAUCUUGUGUAGUCUCGAUUUCAAAUAGCAAAAUUUAGUGUCUUCUGUGUUCUUGUGUUUUGCUGUAAUUGUCAUGGCUCUCAGUUUUCUCUGUUAUUAUGUGGUUCCUAAGUAGGCUGCUUCUCUUUUGUAUUUCAUACUUCAAGAAGGGUUUGCAUGCCCAAUAGCACGUUCAAUUAUUCCAACAGCUAAACCUGUUGGUUUAAUUAAAAAAGAAAAAGUAACAUCUGUUUACAAACUUCUUCUCAUCCUAGCUGUAGAAUUCUUCACGUAUUCCGGUUUUUUGGAUGCUGAACAGGGAGUUUCAAACUGCUGGAAAAGAUUUAUAAAAUGCACAGUGAUGAAAGGCGUGUUAGCAGUCAGAAUGUGAAGACAAUUUUUCUCAUGUUUCACCAUUUAAAUUUUUUUUAUUUUUAUUUUUUUAGUUUCAGAAGAGAAAAGGGAAGUAAACCCACUACCUGAGCCUGGGGAGAUUUCUUUAACAUGCUGGUCUGGAUUUCAGAUUAGUGAGACUGAAAAAAGAUAGAUUUCCUGUUUAUGCAGGUUAUUUUAUUCCUUCCCACCAAAUAUGUUGCCUUGUGCAAAAAUCCAGAGUUUAAAUACUAGACUGUGUAUGUCUGGGUAUGUAUAUAUAUGCUUCUCUGAAAUAUAUAUUUACACACAAAUUUACAUUGUAAAAGUAUACUCUGAGAGACACGAUAACAGGCAUUUCCAGCAUACUCUUAUUUUCAUUUGUGCAUAGAGAUCAGCCAAAAGUCAACAUCACAAUCAUUUUGCAGCUAACGGCAGAACAUGGAUUAUUUUUUCUCACUUCAGUGUGUCAUUGUCAUUAAUUCAUACUGGAGAAUAACAUUCCGUUUUUAUUUAUCUGGUUCCAUUUAACUCUGAGUCUUGCUUAGAACGCAGUUUAAACAAUGCUUGCAGUUUAUGAAAAUAUUCAACAAGAAACUAACAUCAGCUGCACUAUGCUGGCAAACAACAAGGCUGAGGGAUGGUCACCAGUACCUAAACAGAUAUCUGCAGUUUAAAAAUAUUCUUCAGAAGUUUCAGUACAUUUCUAAAUUAAUUUAACUCUCAUUUGCAGUGUGCGGUUCACAUUGCUUUGUGAUGGAAAUGGUAAUAGAUUGAAGGAUUUCUGUUCCCCUUAAGAAGUCUGACCUGAAUAUUACAUCUGAGUUGGCUUGAGGAAUCAGUAAGGGCAGCUUGAUUCGAUGAGGAUUAUCUUGUCAUUGGAAAAAACCUUCAUAAUUUGCUGAAUAUAAUCAUCUACUUAGGAAUGUUGCAGUUCAGAAUCCUUAAGGUUUUACUGAAGAGGAGAGAACCCAAAUCACAGCACACAGUCAGACCCAAUAAAGUAGAAACAGCUCCAGUGCUCUCUACUCCCACCAUCAUACUCUUAACACCUCUCACCCUGCAGAUCUUGCGCCCUAUUAAAUCUGCGGCACUACCUAGGAUUAGCAAUGGAAGUGCCAGUCCUCCAAACAACGUACAAACUGCACGCAAGGUUCAUAGGCCUGUCAGUAGUCCACUCUUUCAGUUCUCUCUCCUCUCUAAAGAGGCAUACGAUUCAGUUUCCCCAUCCUUUUGGGAACCAAAGUUCAUUUAGACUUACUUGUUUAUCCAGGCCAGCUUUUGGAAAGUCCAUUUUCUAGCAAAGAGUUUAAUUUUACAGCUGAGACAUUCAGUGUACAGAGUCUGUGAUCUGCAGGUCAGGACUCAGCCAGCAAUGCAGAUUCUGCACAGAACAGAUGAUUUCUCUGACUGUCUAGUAUUUUUUCAGUGUGGCAACAAGUUCUCUAGCCUGUCAAGUUUCAUAGCUGCUUGUCUACUUUCUUACUGAUGUGUGCGUGGGACAAUACAUUUUGAACACGUUUUUUUUCCUGAGUGUGGCAUUAAUACUUGAGUAACCUCAUCAUGAUGUACAUUCUCUUUCCUCCCUCACUUUUCCUCUAAAUGGGACAGCAUUUAGGAAGACGAAUUCAUUUUGAAAAUGAGUCAGCAAAGUGCAUGUUGUGUUUUAUCUUUGUCGUACACAGAAAAUUCAUGUUACAGUGUGUCAGUAAUUCAUGAUGACAUAUAAAUUGGAUUGAAUCCAGCAUAGAUCAGAGUGUUGAACAAUAUUCAUUAUUCAAUUCAGACCUUUGGACAUAAAGAGUAAUUAAAAUGAAAUCUCUAGAUGUU